GAUGAACGCUGGCGGCGUGCCUAAUACAUGCAAGUCGAACGCUGGAAAUCUAGCUUGCUAGAUUGAAGGAGUGGCGAACGAGUGAGUAAUACAUAAGCAACCUACCCACGAAGACUGGGAUAAUCUCUGGAAACGGGGACUAAUACCGGAUAGGUAAUCGGAAGGCAUCUUCUGAUUAUUAAAGGUUAAAAACACUGGUGGAUGGGCUUAUGGCGCAUUAGUUAGUUGGUGAGGUAACGGCCCACCAAGACGAUGAUGCGUAGCCGGCCUGAGAGGGUGAACGGCCACAUUGGGACUGAGACACGGCCCAGACUCCUACGGGAGGCAGCAGUAGGGAAUUUUCGGCAAUGGGGGAAACCCUGACCGAGCAACGCCGCGUGAGUGAUGACGGCCUUCGGGUUGUAAAGCUCUGUUGUAAGGGAAGAACGGUAGAUAGAGAAUAUCUAAAUGACGGUACCUUACCAGAAAGCCACGGCUAACUACGUG
rnacentral:rRNA from 1 species